rnacentral:rRNA from 1 species
GACGUAGGGGGCAAGCGUUGCCCGGAUUCACUGGGCGUAAAGCGGGUGUAGGCGGUUCUUUAAGUCAGAUGUGAAAACUCAGGCUCAACCCGACGACGCCAUCUGAUACUGCGGUGACUGGAGUCUGGUAGGGGGAACACGAAUUCCUGGUGUAGCGGUGAAAUGCGCAGAUAUCAGGAGGAACACCGGUGGCGAAGGCGGUGGUCUGGGCCGGCACUGACGCUGAGGAGCGAAAGCGUGGGGAGCAAACAGG